rnacentral:rRNA from 1 species
AACAGCUCAAAUUUGAAAUCUGGCCCCCGCCGGGGUCCGAGUUGUAAUUUGUAGAGGGUGUUUCGGGCGAGCCACCGGUCUAAGUUUCUUGGAACAGAACGUCACGGAGGGUGAGAGUCCCGUCUGCGACCGGGGUGCGGCGAGCCCAUGUGUAACCCCUUCGACGAGUCGAGUUGUUUGGGAAUGCAGCUCAAAAUGGGUGGUAAAUUCCAUCUAAAGCUAAAUAUUGGCCAGAGACCGAUAGCGGACAAGUAGAGUGAUCGAAAGAUGAAAAGCACUUUGGAAAGAGAGUCAAACAGUACGUGAAAUUGUUGAAAGGGAAGCGCUUGCGACCAGACCGGUCCGGGGGCGAUCAGCCGCGGCUCGCCCGCGGUGCACUCGCCCUCGAUCCGGCCAGCAUCGGUUCGGGCGGCGGGAUAAAAGGCCCGGGAAUGUAGCUCUCCUCGGGGAGUCUUAUAGCCCGGGUCGCAAUGCCGCCCGCCCGGACCGAGGACCGCGCUUCGGCUAGGAUGCUGGCGUAAUGGUUGCAAGCGACCCGUCUUGAAACACGGACCAAGGAGUCUAACAUCUAUGCGAGUGUUUGGGUGGAAAGCCCGGGCGCGGAAUGAAAGUGAACGGAGGUGGGAGCCCUCGGGCGCACCAUCGACCGAUCCUGAUGUCUUCGGAUGGAUUUGAGUAUGAGCAUAGCUGUUGGGACCCGAAAGAUGGUGAACUAUGCCCGGAUAGGGUGAAGCCAGAGGAAACUCUGGUGGAGGCUCGCAGCGGUUCUGACGUGCAAAUCGAUCGUCAAAUCUAGGCAUAGGGGCGAAAGACCAAUCGAACCAUCU